AGCGAACGCUGGCGGCAGGCCUAACACAUGCAAGUCGAACGAACCUUUCGGGGUUAGUGGCGGACGGGUGAGUAACACGUGGGAACGUGCCUUUAGGUUCGGAAUAACUCAGGGAAACUUGUGCUAAUACCGAAUGUGCCCUUCGGGGGAAAGAUUAAUCGCCUUUAGAGCGGCCCGCGUCUGAUUAGCUAGUUGGUUGAGGUAAUGGCUCACCAAGGCGACGAUCAGUAGCUGGUCUGAGAGGAUGAUCAGCCACAUUGGGACUGAGACACGGCCCAAACUCCUACGGGAGGCAGCAGUGGGGAAUCUUGCGAAAUGGGCGAAAGCCUGACGCAGCCAUGCCGCGUGAAUGAUGAAGGUCUUAGGAUUGUAAAAUUCUUUCACCGGGGAAGAUAAUGACGGUACCCGGAGAAGAAGCCCCGGCUAACUUCGUG
rnacentral:rRNA from 1 species